AACGAACGCUGGCGGCGUGCUUAAGACAUGCAAGUCGUACGGAAAGGCUCUCUUCGGAGAGUACUCGAGUGGCGCACGGGUGAGUAACGCGUGGGUAAUCUGCCUUCGGGUCUGGGACAACCCCGGGAAACUGGGGGCUAAUACCGGAUGAGACCACGAGCUCUUCGGAGCUUGCGGAAAAAGAUGGCCUCUCCUUGGAAGCUAUCGCCCGUCGAUGAGCCCGCGUCCCAUUAGCUUGUUGGUGAGGUAACGGCUCACCAAGGCUUCGAUGGGUAGCUGGUCUGAGAGGAUGAUCAGCCACACUGGAACUGAGACACGGUCCAGACUCCUACGGGAGGCAGCAGUCGGGAAUUUUGGGCAAUGGGCGAAAGCCUGACCCAGCAACGCCGCGUGAGGGAUGAAGGCCCUCGGGUCGUAAACCUCUGUCGGGAGGGAAGAACGGUUGCUCUUCGAAUAGGUGAGCAGCCUGACGGUACCUCCAAAGGAAGCACCGGCUAACUCCGUG
rnacentral:rRNA from 1 species